GUCGCUGCCCGGACAGUGGGAAGGUCUAGGUGUUUCUGGGUUGGGGCUGGACGCGAGGGAGGGUCGGAGGCAGGGAGUAGGGCUUCCGCCCUCACUCUCUGUGUGCAGUCCGAGCCCUUGCUGAUCUCCUCUGGGCCUCAGGAUCCCUUCGUCAAAUUCCUGCCGGUCCGACCAGCAUAUAUGGAGCGCCUGCUGUGUGCGCGGACGAAGGAGAAAGGGCUUGUGCAGAAGGAGGCUCGUGAGCCGAGUCUUUACGUAUAACAGAAAUUUUUAAGAGGUGGGGGGGCAAUUCCAGGCAUGGGACACAGCUUGGGCAAAGGCGUGGAGGUUGGAGUUGGCUAAUAACAUAUGAGAUUGGUUGUGCAGGAAUUGUUUGGGGAACCUUAAAUGCUAUAGAAAUAGGAGCUGCAGUUGCUCUCCCCGUAUUCCUUUUAGGAGUCCAGCCUCAGAGGGGCAGCGAGGUGGCACAGUGGAUACAGCACCCACCCUUAAGUCAGGAGGACCUGAGUUCAAAUCUGACCUCAGACCAAACACUUGACACUAGCAGUGUGACCCUGGGCAAGUCACGUAACCCCAGUUCCCUAAAAACAAACAAACAAAAAAAAACCACACACACACAGAAAAGAAAAAGCCAGUAGCAACCUCUUCUCUGGAAGUAAUUAUCAUCAUCUCUUCACUUAGGUUGACUCUUGAUACCCAGCCUCUCUUCCCUGCUGGUGUUGCCUUGAGGUGGUCUUGGGGAAGAUCUCUUCAUUCUGGUGAAAAAGACUGGAGAACAUGCUAACGCCAGCAGAAAGAAUCCUGAAUGUUAGAAGAGCUGGACCCAAGGUGGGGAGGCAUCAUCCUCCUUUUCUCCAUUGCAUCCGAGAGUGCAACCUCAGAAGGCUGGAGAUUAAGACUGGCAGGAACAAAGCCGGUUCAGAUGAGGGCCUCCUGGAGGGCUGUCAUUGAUCUGACUGGCCAAGUAGGUGAGUAUGUUGUUGAAGGUAAAAAAGCCUGUGCUCAGAUGGUGCCCGAUGGCAUGGUUAAAGAGCCAUUUGUUUGAAAGAGAGCAGAUUGCCCCCCUGGUAGGAGUCCUGUGGCAGCCUAAAGCUAAUUGGACCCUGAGCUGCAGAAGGAGGUGUGGUUCCUGGGAAUAUGGAAGUGACAGUCACUGGACACUUGUGUUCCAUCCUGGGCAUUCAUCAACAGGAAGGAUGGACAGCUAGGGAUGGUGGGGGGCCUUGGUUCCAUGUUUGAUGAGGAUCCGCUAGAAAAACUGGGUAGAUUUAACCUGGAGAAGAUAAGGCUUGGGGGGUGUGAGAGCUGUCUUCAGGUGUUUGAAGGGCUGGUCUAUGGGGGAGAAAUCGGAUAUGUUCUGCAUGGCCCUAGAGGCAUAACUAGGAGCAGUGGAUGAAAGAGGAAAAUUGAGGCUUGUUGUAGGAAGACACUUCUAACAGUUCGAGAUACCCCCAAAGUGCAAUGAGCUGCUGCCUCCAUCUCUGGAGGUCUCCAAGCCCCAGCUAGACAGUCACUUAUUCCUUCUGGGAUAGAGGUUGAGUUAGGAGGCUGCCGAGCUCCCUUUGGAGUAGGACAUUCCAGGAUUCUUCCUUUCCUCUACUUCUCUCUGAAGUCUUCUGUGACCUCCCCUGAAGCUGACUGACUGCAGGCUGAUUCCAUCACUCCAAGUCAGUCCAGCUGGCACUGGCUGGCCAUGUGACCCUGGGCAACUCAGUGAAGUGCUGGGCCCUGAGAUUGGGGUAGUGGGGAGUCGAGAUCCAAUCAGAGAUGCCCAGAAACCUGGGAUUCUCUGUAGAGCCAGGUAAAGGGGAAACUGCAGAUCCAGGCCAGAAUUGCAAAGAACAGAGACAGCCUGAUACUCAUUCCAACUGGGUUUUUUGAUUGUGUGCAAAUGCAUCUGGUGGAAAAAGACUUUGAGGUUACAUGCACAGUGACCAUCUCUCCUCUCCUCUGGGUCUUAGUUUGUCUGGAUCUGGUCCUGAGAGGAGACAAGGCCUGCCUUGAACUGUAAUCUGAGAGGUCUUUGUUGUUGUUCAGGCAUUUUCAGUUGUGUCCAAUCCUUCCUGACCCUAUUUGGGGUUUUCUUGUCAGAGAUAUUGGAGUGGUUUGCCAUUUCCUUCUCCAGCUCAUCUUACAGACAAGGAAACUGAGGCAAAUGGAGUCUAAAUGACUUGCCCACACAACUAGUAAGUAUCUGAGGCUGAAUUUGAGCUCAGAUCUUCCUGACUACACCUCUUGCUGUAUCCACUGUGCCACCUAGCCGCCCCCUUUAUCAGUGUACCAGUCUAGGAGAAGCAGAUCCAGAGCAUCUUUCAAUACACCAAAUGCAAGUAGCCUAGAUAAGGAUAAAUACAGGUAGCUUUCAUGUUGUGUUCAAGGGCUGUUCUUAGGAAUUUAUCAGUUAUUCUAGCAGUUUUUGUCUACUGGUUACUUUGAGUGGCAAGUCAGGCAAUCACUGGUUGAAACAUGCCACAUGCCAUCAUAUGCUCCUCUUCCCUAUCCUCUCCCUUUCCCUCUCAGUCUGUAUUUGCUGAGAGCUUAUUGUGUUUGCAGGCCUCUGAGGGGCAGUAUGAUUGGGUAUGCAGGCUGAUCAGACCCAGGCACCUGUACCCUGAGCAGAGGCAUUGUACUAGUACAAGAAUUUGAAAUGGCUGAUGAAGGUCUGAACCUGCAGCCCCUCACUACCAAGGAAACCUGCCUGCCAGUCUCUGUGUUCAGCCUUAUCUGGUCACCCUAAGAUCAGGGCAUUCAUUAAAGACUCUUUUUCCCUAUAUGUCUACCUCCAGAUAAGAAUUCCAAAGCUCUCUAACACCUGGAGGUCAUCCAGAACCAGUCCACUGCUUAGACCAGCCCCUGCUGCCUCCCCCCACCAGAGGAGAGCAGGGAUGCAGGGGCAACAUGGAAGUGAAGAAAGUCAGCAUUGGGGGCAGCUAGGUGGCCAGCAUCAUAGUUGAGAGGAGUGUGGCUAGUGAAUCCCUUUUAUAAUAACAAUAGAAGCUAGAAUUUAAAUAGUCCUUUAAGGUUUACAAACUACUUUCCAAAUAUUAUUUCAUUUGAUCCUCACAACAGACCUACACAAGUAGGUGGUUAUUUUUACAAAUGGAGAAACUGAGGCAGGCACAGGUUAAGUGACUUGCCCAGUCACACAGCUAGUAAAUUCAUUCCGGAGUCCUGUCAAUAAACCCUUAGGAUAGCGUAGUGCGGGGCUUUUU
ensembl:lncRNA